GGGUAACUAGCUCAAUGGUAGAGCAUCGGACUCUUAAUCCGUUGGUUCAGGGUUCGAGUCCCUGGUCACCCA
rnacentral:tRNA from 1 species